AAGUCGUAACAAGGUUUCCGUAGGUGAACCUGCGGAAGGAUCAUUAACAAAUCACGGCCUUUUUAGGCCAUUGACGCCUGGCUUUUACGGCCAGGACAUUUCUGCUUGUAUGUUUGACUGAACUGAAAUAAUAUAUAUUUAUACAACUUUUAACAAUGGAUCUCUUGGCUCUU
rnacentral:misc_RNA from 1 species